rnacentral:lncRNA from 1 species
UACCAUAAGACAUUCUGUGAACAUACUACUAAUGUUCCUAUAUUUUAAGUUGCGAAAUAAUACAUACGUGUAAGAGAUACAACAUUACUUAUAACAUACCAGACAAACUAAGUGACAUUUUAGGCCUACAGUGCAAUAAUAUGUCAAAUUUAAAGAGUUUCCCAAGAUUAUAAACAUACAAAUGUAAUAAAAAUUAUUGGUCGCGAAUAUUCAAUUUGGAAUGCGAUUUUGUUAAUAAAAAAAAUACUUAUAACUUAUGCAAAACCCAAGAGAGGCAUUUAUAUUUAUUUCUUUUGCGUUCAUUUUCAAAUUCGCCGUGCAUAUAUUUUUGUGCAUGGCGCUUGAGAGGGCAUCACGUGACUAAAAACGACCAACCAACGACCUCGCUUCGGCCAUCUUGGCAUCUUCAUCUUGGCGACCUUGCCUUGCCGUGGAUUGUUUUUAGUUGUUUGUAUUAUUUGUGCUUUUUAAGAAUAUUUUUUUAAUUCGGAUACUUUUAUAAUAGCUUUAAUAGUAUUAUUAACAUAGUGCAUAAAAUGGUGUCCUGUUUUUAACGCAGUUGGAGUAGCAGAAACAAAUAAUGUAGAUAAAAAAAUCUGCAGGAAUAACGUUUCAAUUAUGACAGAAACUCAAAACAAAUGACUGUGAAUGAAAAGCCCUAUUAAAAGCUUUCCAGAAGAUCCUGCGAAGAAGACAAGAAAGUAUAGAUUAGAUUUGUUAAUAGAGGAGUAUGUUCAAAACACUUUCUAGAAAAAGAUAUUGACAGAACUUCACUUUCAUCUGCUCGUUUGAGAGACUGUGCUGUUCCAAUAGCUUAUGCCACACAGAAUCAGCUGAGAGAAGUGGUCUACAAAAAACCAGAAAGGAAACGGAAUAUGUGGCUACGAAAAGCAAAAGAAAGGUUUACAAA